AUGAGGCCAGGAGGCAGCUUUGUGCCGAGCUUCAUCAGUAUUCACCACAGGUCUCCCUCUCUCGCUCUCCCAAUAAUAUCCCAGUCAUUUGGGUCUGGAUGAGCUGCACAGUCGUACAGGAUAGCAGGACUCUGCAGCAAACUGGAGGAGAGCGCCAUCCUCCAUGGCCUGGACUUCAUUGAGAUUGACUUAUUCUCCUUUAAAAACAAGACAAAUUCUGGGGAAGAUGGAACAUCUGGAAAGUUGGUAACUUUGCUACUCUACAGACGGAGAGCGAGGAGAGCAUGGCAACGGACACAUAAAAAAAAAACUCCAGAGACAACUAAAGGAACUGUACGCAGAUCUGCGAUGAGCUACGGUGCUCCUUUGACCAAACUGGCAGUGCAUUCACCCUUGUGAAGAUCAUAUCACUGGGACUCGACAAGUUUCCUGAUGGAUCUGUGAGAUUUCUGGAGCUGUCUAUAGAACAGGUCCAGUCUCUUCCUCUACACUGGUUCUCAGUUGACUUUGUCUUGCUCUUCCAGCUUCAUUCUGACACUCACCUGUCUUCUGAAAAAUGGGUUUAGUUUAUUGUAGUUUAUCAGUUUAUAAUAUCCCCCUUAAGUAACUGUACAGUAAAAGGAGCAGCUUUACCCUCUACGGCUAAUUUCCAGCUGUAGUCCCCGGUCAGCUGACAAUAACAUCCUAAAAUACAAUGGUUAACAUACGGAGACAGCCGCUCUAAUGUAGAUAAGUCCAGAUGUGGGCUGUGCAUCUGCCUUUUGUUUAACUAAUUUUAGAUUUGUGCCUGCUAUGAUUUAAAACUUGUGUUUCCGCUUCAAAUUUUCACCAUUCUUCUUUCCCCAUUUGUCUUCAUCUCUCUUCGCACCCCGAUAAAAAGGUCACCAGCAUUAGUGUUUGAAUUCUCCAUGGCUAAGUUAUUCAUUUGACCUCGCUAUCUGUCAGUACAGUCCAGCUCUCCCGAGUCAGCUACAUGAGA